rnacentral:rRNA from 1 species
CACACCGCCCGUCGCUACUACCGAUUGAAUGGCUCAGUGAGGCUUUCGGACUGGCCCAGAGGAGUCGGCAACGACACCUCAGGGCCGGAAAGUUAUCCAAACUCGGUCAUUUAGAGGAAGUAAAAGUCGUAACAAGGUCUCCGUUGGUGAACCAGCGGAGGGAUCAUUAUAGAGUUACAAAAACUCCAAACCCAUGUGAACAUACCAUAUUGUUGCCUCGGCAGGUUGUGCCUACCCUGUAGUAACCUACCCUGUAACGACCUACCCUGGAGUUACCCUGUAGGGACCUACCUGGUGGCGCGCCAGAAGGCCUGCCGAAGGACCCCCAAACUCUAGUUUUAUAAUGGAAUUCUGAAUACGCAACUUAAUAAGUUAAAACUUUCAACAACGGAUCUCUUGGUUCUGGCAUCGAUGAAGAACGCAGCGAAAUGCGAUAAGUAAUGUGAAUUGCAGAAUUCAGUGAAUCAUCGAAUCUUUGAACGCACAUUGCGCCCAUUAGUACUCUAGUGGGCAUGCCUGUUCGAGCGUCAUUUCGACCCUUAAGCCCUGUUGCUUAGUGUUGGGAGCCUACCUACCCUGUAGCUCCUCAAAGUUAGUGGCGGAGUCGGGUCGUACUCUAAGCGUAGUAGUUUCUUCUCGCUUCUGCAGUCGUCCUGGUUCCUGCCGUAAAACCCCUAUAUUUAUCUAGGUUGACCUCGGAUCAGGUAGGAAUACCCGCUGAACUUAAGCAUAUCAAUAAGCGGAGGAAAAGAAACCAACAGGGAUUGCCCUAGUAACGGCGAGUGAAGCGGCAACAGCUCAAAUUUGAAAUCUGGCCCUCGGGUCCGAAUUGUAAUUUGUAGAGGAUGCUUUUGGCGCGGUGCCUUCCGAGUUCCCUGGAACGGGACGCCUUAGAGGGUGAGAGCCCCGUACGGUUGGACACCAAGCCUCUGUAAAGCUCCUUCGACGAGUCGAGUAGUUUGGGAAUGCUGCUCUAAAUGGGAGGUAAAUUUCUUCUAAAGCUAAAUACCGGCCAGAGACCGAUAGCGCACAAGUAGAGUGAUCGAAAGAUGAAAAGCACUUUGAAAAGAGGGUUAAAUAGCACGUGAAAUUGUUGAAAGGGAAGCGUUUACGACCAGACUUUUUCCAGGCGGAUCAUCCGGUGUUCUCACCGGUGCACUUCGCCUGGUUUAGGCCAGCAUCGGUUUUCGUAGGGGGAUAAAAGCUUCGGGAAAGUAGCUCCCUCGGGAGUGUUAUAGCCCGUUGCAUAAUACCCUUAUGGGGACCGAGGAUCGCGCUCUGCAAGGAUGCUGGCAUAAUGGUCGUCAACGACCCGUCUUGAAACACGGACCAAGGAGUCGAACAUUUGUGCGAGUGUUUGGGUGUUAAACCCUCACGCGUAAUGAAAGUGAACGGAGGUGAGAGCCCUUAUGGGUGCAUCAUCGACCGAUCCUGAUGUCUUCGGAUGGAUUUGAGUAAGAGCAUAACUGUUCGGACCCGAAAGAUGGUGAACUAUGCGUGGAUAGGGUGAAGCCAGAGGAAACUCUGGUGGAGGCUCGCAGCGGUUCUGACGUGCAAAUCGAUCGUCAAAUCUGCGCAUGGGGGCGAAAGACUAAUCGAACCAUUGAGAAACCAGCGGUAAAUAAUUCUUUACUAGGUGGUUAAGAGGCCCUUUGAGAGAGAAGGCCUAGGUCCCACCUACCCUGUAGUAAACUACCCUGUAACAAGCUACCCUGGAGCAGCCUACCCUGUAACAAGCUACCCUAUAGCGACUUACCCUGUAAGCGGCUAACCUGGAGUAUGGGGUGGGCGACCGACACCGCUAAAUUGCGGGGACAUCCUAUCCAAGGCCACAGGCUACCGCCGGGCGCUGAAAAGCGUGCCGGCAACCGAGAAUAGCGCUCUCGGGUACGGUAAUAACGCCUGUGGUAGCGGACGACCUGCAGCCAACCCCGUUUUAGGGGAGAGUUCACUGACUAGACAGCGGUGGGUCAGCCCCCGUGGCUGGCCUAAGACAUAGUCGAUCCGGGCCCUGAAAAGGAACCCCUAAUACGA